rnacentral:lncRNA from 1 species
AAAAAAAAAAAAAAGUAAGUUCCUUUGGCUCCUCCUUCUGGGUCUGUCCCCUCUCCCCCAGCAGCAGACAUGGCGCUGUCCAUUUCUGGAAGGUUCAGGCCAGGAAGGACACAGGUGUCACCUUGCCCAGAGGUGACCAAAGGUUCUUCGGCUGUGGGCUGGUUCUGCAAAUGAAACCUUAGGGGUGAUGGUCGGUGUAUAACGCUAAGACCAGAGCUGCAAUGGCUCUGAUUCUCCGCCAUAGAGUGCCAGGGCUCUGGGAGGAGCAUUUGAAAACCACAUAUCUCAUGCCCAAUCCUCAUUUUACAGUGGCCCAGAGCAGGAAAACCAAAGGUAUAAGGUUGGGACCAGAGGAAAAGCUGUCACACACACGAGGUCUCGCUCUGUUGCCCAGACUGGUCCUAAACUCCUGGCCUCAAGUACUCCUCCUGCUUGGGCCUUCCAAAUUGUUGGGAUCAUAGAUGCAGAAACCACGGCCCAGGGAAGACGCAGCUUGAGCAAGGUCACCGGCAGUUUCCUUUGCAGUAAAAUGGGAAUAAAAAGAAAAUCUACGUAACAGUAGAUAUUCUGUGAGGAUUACGUGAAUUCAUAUUUGAAGAGUGAGUAGAAGGGUUCCUGGCACAAGCUCUACAAGUGUGGCUGGAAUGAAUAUGAUGAUGAGGAUGAAGAUGAGGAUGGCGGGGCUGGAGCUCAAGUGCCAUACUGUGUCCUGGAGCAGAAGCCACGUGUUGAGGACAGUCUGGACCCUUAACGAGGGUUGAGCCACGACACCAGCCUGUGACUGUUUACCUCUUGAGUUUGUUUACAGGAGAAGAAAAUAAACUCUCACCUUGUUUAACACA